GUUGAAGAACGUAGCGAAAUGCGAUAAGUAAUGUGAAUUGCAGAAUUCAGUGAAUCAUCGAAUCUUUGAACGCACCUUGCACCCUUUGGUAUUCCGAAGGGUAUGCUCGUUUGAGUGUCAUUGUACUCUCACACUUCUAAUUCCUUUCGGGAUUGGGAGCGGUGGACUUGGGUGUUGCUGCUUUAGUUGUGGCUCACCUCAAAUAAGUUAGUGCAACUCUUGGUUGGACAUAGUACGGCGUGAUAAGUGUCUUCGCCGGCGCCACUGUAAGGAGGGUGGCCGAUCGGGAGCUCUGUGCUUCAAACCGUCUUCGGACAAUCUUUGACAACUUGACCUCAAAUCGAGUAGGACUACCCGCUGAACUUAAGCAUAUCAAUAAGCGGAGGA
rnacentral:misc_RNA from 1 species